AGUGGAUAAAAUCCCGGAAAUACGGAGAGCAAUUUGGCCUCGAAUUCGUAUGUAUUCUUUACUAAACAGCACGGCUUUUGGGAGGUGAGCGUUGCCUUUCUGCGGAUGAAAUAGCUGACAAUGAGUUAUCUCAUGAAGAAGUUAAUGCUGUGAAAUGGGAGCAGACUGACCGACCAGUUUGUUUUCAGUACUCACUGAAUGGAUGUAUGAACAGAACCACCACAGGUAAGACUGCUGGACAUUUACCUGAGAGAAAAAAACACAGAGGGACAUAUAAGUGUUAGAUGUCUGCUUAUGUAUUUUAAAAAAACGUUUCUUCUGUUUGUUCUUUCAACAAAGCAACAAAAAAUAAAAUUAAAUGUUCCCUGUUUUGUCUUAUAAUGUCUAACUUAAAUAAUGAAAACCCAUUUUGUAGAAUUUAGUAGAAUAAUUAUUAUAAAAUAUCCCCAAUGUGACUGUAAAAAUAUUUUAAUUCAACCUUAUUUUUUUUUACAAGAAAUGGGUCAAAAAUCGUAUUUUUUAAGCCCUCAAAUGGUCAAUUCUGUUUUUGUUUUUGUUGGUGGUGAAUUUUUCUACUUCUUUGUGAAUAAACUUGUUUUUGGUGAAAUAAUGAAUAAAUUGACCAGUUAAGAAAGUACAAUUUUCUGUGCUAUUACAGGAAGUGAGUGGUCGGUCUUCAGCCUCUUUUACACAGAUCUGUAGUCAUGUAACGAGUGAACCAGAGAAAGUUUUCUGCUGCGCUCAGUCUCUCACAGGGAAACAAUCCUCCAUGAUCUAACCUUCUGACCUCUCCUCCAGCACCUCUGUCAGAACAAACAUCACAUAUUCUGCAUCGCUGAGGCGCCACAUUCAGGAGAAGUUUGUUUAUCAUGUAUUGCCAAAAGCACUUUUGUCAUGUCAGCUGUUGUUGUUACAAAAGUUUAAUGUUAUGAAAUGAUUUAAACCUGAGUUAAUGCAGGAGGAUACACUGGAGGUGAGGUGAGAGGUCGGAAAGAGUCGGUAAAUAUGUACCGCCUUCAGAGGUACAAGCUAAAGAUCCACUGUUUGCAGAAUCACAACAUAUUGUGCUUUUUUUUCAGUGUAAUUUCCCAGCGAGUGUGAUAGCAGAUGGUGUACUUUUAGAGGGGAACUUCUCCUGACAUGCCGGCUAAUUUGAUGUAGUGUGAGCCCUCCCCCCAUAAGAAAUUAAAGUUAAAGUGCCCUGCUGAGAGGACUCAUUAGUGAGACACAUUUAAGAGAAAAGUUAAAGAGAGAAAAAGACAAAUUCUGUUGAUUAAACUUUCCACCCCUUGUGGAUCUGAACUCGUGUUUUUCCACUGCAGAACAUUUGCAGAAUGUGAUUCUGAGAGGAGUCGCUGAGUGCAUUAUGCAUGGUUUGUGUCUUUAUUAGAGAAGUUUGCUCCGACAGAAGAGACCUUGGAUGGUUAUGAGAAAAAGGCUGAAUCCAAAGGUGACCCUGGUAAACCAAAACACACUCGGCCUUUACUGAACCACCUGUCUAACUACAAAUAUCGGUGUUGUGUUUCAUGCCACUCAGAGAAAUCAAGUUUAAACCGGAUUUGCACUAAAUCCUUUGACGAGGUAAAAGUCACAUAUGCCGCCUUGUUUGUACACAUCUUGGAGUUCAGCCAAAUCCUUGCAAACUGGCGAAGGCGCUGAUUCAAUUUGGAGAUCCGAGCUUCUUUUCUCCAGACCCAGAGUGUGACAAAAUAUAAUGGGAUAGAUUUGUAAAUCUGAGGAUAAUCUAAGUGCGAUGUGGGGAGAUUUAAAGGUCAGGUAAAAAAAAGCAGUCAGCUCGAAGCAGACCUCCAUCAAGCUCGAUAAUCCCCCAGCUAACCAUUCCUUUCAGAGCCAGUAUCGGACCAGGUGGAUGACUGAACACUUCUGCGGCGGUGACCAAAACUUCACUCCAUGGACGCCCACCAGGAAAGAUCAUGUCAUCAAAUUUAUGGAGACAUACGUGUGCAAAAUGUCGUAUUUGAGUUGGGCUAAACACUGAUGGUGGUUCAGACAUGAGAAGAUGGACAUGUUGGCCAAGGAUUCAUCAGAAGACAGGACUGAUGGUGUUUAUAUCAUGAUUACAGAUGCCUGAAAUUGCUGUGAGGGGGUAGGUGUCAAUAAAGGUGCAGAAGAAAAAGCCAAUUUUCUAAAUUUUUCAUUUAAAAACUAAAGACUAAAUGUGAUUUCAAG
rnacentral:lncRNA from 1 species